rnacentral:tRNA from 1 species
GCUGGUGUGGCCGAGUGGUCUAAGGCGGUAGACUCAAGAUCUACUGACGAAAGUCGCGUGGGUUCGAAUACCGAUCGAAAAAGGUUCGAAAUUCCCACCGCCAGCA